CGAGUCGGCCGGGCGGUCGCGUCGGCGGGGGAGACCCCGCCGCCGAGGAACGUCCGGGCUCCACAGGGCAGGGUGGUCGUUAACAGCGACCCGGGGCGACCCGCGGGACAGUGCCACAGAGAACAGACCGCCAGUGCUCGCACUGGUAAGGGUGAAACGGCGGUGUAAGAGACCACCGCACACCGGGUGACCGGUGUGGCUCGGUAAACCCCACCCGGAGCUAGGUCAAGAAGGGACGACGGUCCGCCGUCGGCCCGCGCAGGCGUUCGAGGGCGGCCCGCCCGAGCCUGCGGGUAGACCGCUCGAGCCUGCCGGCAACGGCAGGCCUAGAUGGAUGACCGCCCAUCGGGAGGCCGCGAGGCACCCGUGGACAGAACCCGGCGUACAGGCCGACUCGUCCG
rnacentral:RNase_P_RNA from 1 species